rnacentral:lncRNA from 1 species
UAUUGUCAAAAUCAUAAGGGGUGUGCUACCAGGAAUUAUUACUUGGCACAUAUGGAAAACAUAUAACAACAUCACUCAUGAUGAGGAACAAUUCAAUCAGAACAGGCUGAUACAGGAAAUUACAUGGAUGACUUACCAUUGGGCAAUGAAUCUUGAGCAUUCCAGACUAGCCAAAAAUCACGAAAGACUAAUUCUUGCAAAGCUUACUCCCCAA